GAACCCCUGCGGUGUUCGUGAUGCGACUUUAAGUUUUGAGCCAACACUUCUUAAGAGGGGGCGGUAAUCCUCUGGCGAUUGUAGUAACCCGGCAGGGUGAGGCAUGACCCGGAGGACCAAGUCACCCACCUGCGAAAGCAGGUUCAAAACUUGAGCACACGGCAUCGCGGGGGCUUU
rnacentral:other from 1 species